rnacentral:lncRNA from 1 species
GAGAUGAAAUUUUUAGUUAUAUGGUUAGCAUGUGUUUAACUUUAUAAGAAACUGAAAAGUGUUUUUGAAAAUUACUGUGCCAUGAGUACUCUAUGAGUGUUACUGUUUACAUUCUUGUCAUCUUUUACUACUGUGUCAGUAUUUUUUCAUGUUAGCUAUUUUAUUGGGCAUGCAGUGGUAUCUCAUUGUGGUUUAAAUUAUGUAAUUGUUUUAUGAUGUGAAGCACCUUUUCAUGUACUUACUUGCCAUUGCAUGUGCUGUUUUCUCUAGUUGCCAUCAUUUGCUGAAAUAGCUACUGGAAUUAUUUUGCUCAUUUUUAAUGUGGUUGUUUGACUUAUUGUUGAGGUCUCAUUAAGUUGCCCAGGCUGACUUAGAACUCAUGAUCCUCCCACCUGAGCUUCCCAAGUAGCUGGAACUACAGUUUUUCCACUCUGGGCCAGUGUGUCAUAGUAGGAAUAGGGAUGCUGAGAAGAAGGCAUUGCUUUGGCAAGGAGUGAACCCUGGCUACAAAACAGGACAUGGGAAAGGAGGACCCAGGACCACUCAAGCACUGGAUAUUUCAGACAGGGAGUUUUGGAAAAGUAUACAUAUGGAGGUUGAAGAAAUGGACACUGGCUCGCUGUCCAUGCCUGAAUACCCCUUGAACAAUUUCAUGAACUCCCAUGGGCACCCAUACUACAAUUUAUAGACUCUUGUUCUAAACUUCAAUGGUUUCUGAAUGGAUGAAGGACUGAGGAGCAAUGGGAGAUUGAAUAUUAUGAGGGGAGAUAAGCUGUUGUCCUAUGGAAGAGAGUGAGAGUCUCCUAGAUGUCUCUUAAAUGGAAAAUAAGAUGGAUGGUGUCUCAUUUGACGGCAUUAAAUAAAGAUGACAUCUGAAUUUUUUCAUUUGUCACGGAGAGAUUUUAGUAUAUGAAUUCUUCAAUUAACGUCUCUCUGUGUGUACACAAAUGCCUCUAUGUAUUUAUAUCUAUGCAUCUAUCUCACCAUUUAAUAGAAGGUAGUGGCUUUAUUGGUGAGCACAUGAAGCACUUUUAUGAUUAUUUUAAAUCAGUUCUCAUUUUCACAUCAUUUUUAAGAGGCUUUCAUUAAUGUUUCUCCUGCAUUAUAUAUUUUUUGGAAAAAUCUCAAUUGGUAUCACUGGAAGACC